CCUACGGGGGGCAGCAGUGGGGAAUAUUGGGCAAUGGGCGCAAGCCUGACCCAGCAACGCCGCGUGAAGGAAGAAGGCUUUCGGGUUGUAAACUUCUUUUGACAGGGAAGAGCGGAAGACGGUACCUGUCGAAUAAGCCACGGCUAACUACGGGACCGCAGCCGCGGUAAUACGUAGGUGGCAAGCGGUGUCCGGAAUUACUGGGUGUAAAGGGCGUGUCACCGGGCUGACAAGUUAGAGGUUAAAUCCGGGGGCUCAACCCCCGGACUGCAGUUGAAACUGGUGGUCUUGAGUAUCGGAGAGGCAGGCGGAAUGCGUAGUGUAGCGGUGAAAUGCGUAGAUAUUAGGAGGAACACCGGUGGCGAAGGCGGCCUGCUGGACGACAACUGACGGUGAGGCGCGAAAGCGUGGGGAGCAAACAGGAUUAGAUACCCCGGUAGUC
rnacentral:rRNA from 1 species